AGUGGUAUAACUCAGUGGUAGAGUGUAUGCUUAGCAUGUAUGAGUUCCUGAGUUCAGUCCCCAGUACGUCCA
rnacentral:tRNA from 1 species